rnacentral:rRNA from 1 species
UGAGUAACCUGCCCUUAACUCUGGGAUGAGCCUGGGAAACUGGGUCUAAUACCGGAUAUGACUCCUCAUCGCAUGGUGGGGGUGGAAAGCUUUUUGUGGUUUUGGAUGGACUCGCGGCCUAUCAGCUUGUUGGUGAGGUAAUGGCUUACCAAGGCGACGACGGGUAGCCGGCCUGAGAGGGUGACCGGCCACACUGGGACUGAGACACGGCCCAGACUCCUACGGGAGGCAG